AUUUUCGAUGGAAAUAGGGAGGGAUUUUUUUGAAAGUGGACCAGGCUCCGUCGGAGCUACUUUUUGCGACGGUUUGUUCUUAUGCCCAGAUAGCCCUUGUUCCCAAUAGUCCAAAACCGCAGUCGUUUAAUUUUCAUGUUUGCAUCUUGGCUGGUGGUGAAGGUACAAAAGUCGAAAAAGGGUGUUUUUUAUACGUGAUUUACUGCCGCUGCAGACGAUGGACACACAUGUGUGGUGGCUCGUUGGAUAGGUACUGUCCAGGAGACCCGGGGCAAAGACAGAUAUCAAAUGUGUACUCAAGCACUAUUCAAAAAUAACAAAAAGUAUGUAUCAGUCAAAGGCCGGAAAUUUUGAUGAGCUU